GACGUAGGAGGCGAGCGUUGUCCGGGAGUCACUGGGCGUAAAGGGCGCGCAGGCGGUCGCGUACGCCGCUCCGUUACAGCCCCGGCUCAACCGGGCGGAUGCGGGCGGGACGGCGCGACUGGAGGGGGGCAGAGGUGGGCGGAAUUCCCGGUGUAGUGGUGAAAUGCGUAGAUAUCGGGAGGAACACCCGCGGCGAAGGCGGCCCACUGGGCCCCUCCUGACG
rnacentral:rRNA from 1 species